ensembl:lncRNA
CUCGCGAUAUCUGGCUCCUGGGGGUUUCUCCAUUGGUGCUGCUGCCGUGACGACGUGCUAGGAAGGCUGUGAGGAGCCUCGCUGGCCCCAGGAAGAGGUUUGGGGAGGAUAUUCCUAGCAGCUGCCUAAAGCAUUGGUUUCGGGGGUCCUUCCUGCUUCUCCUCUGCUCAGCACUGGCUGCCCAUAUGUGCUUUUCCUUGGUGGAAUGAGAAGACACCUCUGGACAAGCUGACGAGCUCCCAGACCCAGCUGACAGAGCAACCACCAAUUUCAUCAUCGCUGGAUACCAGUGGCAGAGGGAAAACAGUGCUUAGGAAGGUCUCACACCUACUGCUAAAUGCUGCAACUCAGGAGACUUUCAUCUCAGUUCGUUGGACAGAG